rnacentral:rRNA from 1 species
GCUGAAAGCAUCUAAGCGGGAAGCCUGUUCCAAGAUUAGGAUUCUCACCACCUUGAGUGGGUAAGACCCCCUACAGACUAUGGGGUUGAUAGGCCAGAACUGGAAGCGCAGUAAUGCGUGUAGGUGACUGGUACUAAUCGGUCGAGGGCUUACCACACA